CCUACGGGUGGCAGCAGUAGGGAAUAUUGCUCAAUGGGGGAAACCCUGACGCAGCAACGCCGCGUGGAGGAUGAAGGUUUUCGGGUUGUAAACUCCUUUUGUUAGAGAAGAUUAUGACGGUAUCUAACGUCUAAGCACCGGCUCACUCCGUGCCAGCCGCCGCGGUAAUACGGAGGGGGCAAGCGUUUCUCGGAAUCACUGGGCGUAAAGAGCGCGUAGGCGGGGUAGCAAGUCAGGUGUGAAAUCCUAGGGCUUAACCAUAGAACUGCAUUUGAAACUGUUAUUCUUGAGUAUGGGAGAGGUAGGUGGAAUUCUUGGUGUAGGGGUAAAAUCCGUAGAGAUCAAGAGGAACACUAAUGGCGAAGGCGAAUUGCUAGAACAUAACUGACGCUGAUGCGCGAAAGCGUGGGGAGCAAACAGGAUUAGAUACCCCUGUAGUC
rnacentral:rRNA from 1 species